CAUAUACUUCCUCCGUCCAACAAAGAAUGUCUCAAUUUUGACUAAAUUUGAAUGCAUUUAUACACUAAGUUAUGUCUAGAUACAUUCAAUUUUUUGAAAAACUUGAGACAUUUUGUUGGACGGAGGGAGUAUAUU
rfam:Brachypodium distachyon strain Bd21 chromosome 1, whole genome shotgun sequence.